CUCCCUACUGAACACACUCUGUAAUAUGGAGGCAGAUUUAGGGACAUGGUACCAGGAGCUAUGGACAUCUCUCCUAAACGGGAAGGCAAAUACAAGUUUGAGGGCCAACUUAGUUUACUGCACGGACUAUUUCAUACAUUGAUAGAUGACUAUGCAUGCAUUUCUACUUGAUGGCUCACCAAAAUUGUAUUAUAGAAGGCAUUUUGUCACAGUGGAAUCUGAAUUCAGAGAACCAUUCAUAUCACCAUCUUCUUGGCCCAUAAAACCGACAAAGAAAUUAUCUGAUAUUGCAAGGGCAGCUUGUCAGCAUGGGUACUAAGUAUGAAGCAAGGAAGAAUCCAUUACCCAGAGCAGAAUUCUCGACGAAAUGCCACUACAAAAGAAAAGAACACACAUCUCACUCAAGCCUUAAGCUCUUAGGAACAUGAAACAUGAGAGAAAAAAAUCAAACCUACUUUUGGCCAUCAAGACCAUCAACUGUUGCUACCGUAGAUCCUGGCCUGAGGUCAGUCUCUGUUCUACCAUCUGUCAUCAUCAGUGUGUAAUCAGAAAUAGAGAUGAGUUUUAGCUUAAACAAUC